UAUUUUAUGGUACAAAGACAGAGAGUAUUUCACAAGUGAGAAAACAGCCAGUCAGUGGAACAUUUCUUCUUCAUUAUAAGCAUGAAGAUGAUGGGUAAAAACAUGUAAGGGAAGCAUACCACCCCAAUAUAACUAGCAUGGAUUGAGGAAAGGACACUGAAGUC